CCUACGGGUGGCAGCAGUGAGGAAUAUUGGUCAAUGGGCGUAAGCCUGAACCAGCCAAGUCGCGUGAGGGAUGAAGGUUCUAUGGAUCGUAAACCUCUUUUAUAAGGGAAUAAAGUGUGGGACGUGUCCUGUUUUGUAUGUACCUUAUGAAUAAGGAUCGGCUAACUCCGUGCCAGCAGCCGCGGUAAUACGGAGGAUCCGAGGGUUAUCCGGAUUUAUUGGGUUUAAAGGGGUCGUAGGCGGCCUUUUAAGGCAGCGGUGAAAGUCUGUGGCUCAACCAUAGAAUUGCUGUUGAAACUGGGAGGCUUGAGUAUGUUUGAGGCAGGCGGAAUGCGUGGUGUAGCGGUGAAAUGCUUAGAUAUCACGCAGAACCCCGAUUGCGAAGGCAGCCUGCCAAGCCAUGACUGACGCUGAUGCACGAAAGCGUGGGGAUCAAACAGGAUUAGAUACCCUUGUAGUC
rnacentral:rRNA from 1 species